GCCUCUUUCUAGUUUUCCCUUUCCACUGUCAUUUAUUUCAGUUUUUAUCUCCACAACAAAAAUUCUUUCCAACUUUUUUUCCCUCUCUCCCUCUAAUGCUCUUCACUUUCAAAUGCUAAUAAUCUCCAGCUGUAAAAGGCUUAGAAGUGGCUCUAGAUUGUUUGAUCUUUGGCCUGUGAUCUGCUUUCAUCUCUCUGCUUUCAAAUGUUACUUUAGAUUUACUUUAACCUAUUAACAUGCUUGGUAUUCAUGGACACGCACUCGCCAAACCGGCUUCCCAGCACCCGGGCCGCACCCCCUCCCCAUCAAACCCAGACCAGGAAAAGUGAAACUCCAAGCUCCGACCGGAACUUUGCAGGAGCUGGAGGAGGAGGCCUGGGAGGCCGAGGAGGGAGGAGGGAGUGCAGGCAGGGGGAAAGCUGCGGGGAGAGGACCGAGGAAGGGGGCAGGAGGGGAGGCAAUAGGGUAGUAGGGGGAGAGAAGAGAGGCAGGGGAAGCAGCAGAAGACGGCGGGAGAGUAAAGGAAGGAGAAAGGAGACAAAGGCAGAGAAAGGGAGAGCAGGGACAAAGAAGGAUGGACAAGGCUCCGUGGUGAACGCGCUGCCUCCCGCCUGGUUAGACACUAUCUAAAUCUGCUCUCCCCGGAGCCGGAGCCGGGAAUGGGGAAUGGAGAGACGCUGAAUUAGCGCUUAAGAUUUCUUGCUCCCGCGUUGUGCUGGAAUGUCUGGCGUAUUCGUUUCCACAGGAAACGCGAGGCAUGAAUAUGGAUGAAAUUCCUCACUGAGACCACAAGGCCGGUCCUAGACUGGAUGGAGACCAACAGUAGAGACGUGGGCUGGGAGCUUGACUGUCGGAAAACUUGGAUUAUGAUCUCCAAACUUCCUCCUACCAGGAAGAGCAUGAGUUUUGAGUCCGAGAGCUCUGGGUUUCCAG
rnacentral:lncRNA from 1 species